AUUCUAUCUAAAACAUCCUAUUCUCCUAAACCCCAUAGACACCUUAGAAACAUUCGAGGCAACACUGCGACUUUUAUGUUGAGCUGGAGGAGGGGUGUAGAGGGUCGUGUGUAUGACAAUACCCCCCCCCCCCCCCCCCCCUGCCGCCUCCUUGGCACAUUUCAAGGCGUGCAGCCUCUUCCAAACGCAGUAAUGGUUGGAGAACCAUGUCGUGUUUUUAUCGAAACCUUUAAUGGCAGGAUGAUGUGCUCGGGUUUCCCCGCAAGGUUACCCUUUAACUGACGGAAUAUAUGGAUUGGACCUCGUUGCCAGAACAGACCUGGGGCGAGUCUGAAAGGCUUCUCACCGUGUCCCACUCUGAGGAGUCCUCAUCCAGGAGCACAGGUCACAUGACAGAUGUACGUAGUGAUGAAACAGACAACUCUCCUCCUCUCCAACCUCACACUCUGAGAGAGUUUGAACAGGUGAGCUCUCCUCUUUCUCUUUUGGGCCAUAAUUCAAUGCUCAAAACCUUUGUAUCCUCACUGUGUUAACU
rnacentral:lncRNA from 1 species